rnacentral:rRNA from 1 species
UACGGGGGGGGCAAGCGUUGUUCGGAAUUACUGGGCGUAAAGGGCGCGUAGGCGGCCAUUCAAGUCGGGGGUGAAAGCCCAGGGCUCAACCCUGGAAUUGCCUUCGAUACUGUUUGGCUAGAGACCGGAAGAGGUUAGUGGAACUGCGAGUGUAGAGGUGAAAUUCGUAGAUAUUCGCAAGAACACCAGUGGCGAAGGCGGCUAACUGGUCCGGUUCUGACGCUGAGGCGCGAAAGCCAGGGGAGCAAACGGG